UACGUAGGGGGCAAGCGUUGUCCGGAUUUAUUGGGCGUAAAGCGCGUGUAGGUGGCCAAGUAGGUCCGCUGUGAAAACUUGAGGCUCAACCUCAAGCUGUCGGUGGAAACCACUUGGCUAGAGUCCGGAAGAGGAGAGUGGAAUUCCUGGUGUAGCGGUGAAAUGCGCAGAUAUCAGGAAGAACACCAAUGGCGAAGGCAGCUCUCUGGGACGGUACUGAC
rnacentral:rRNA from 1 species